rnacentral:lncRNA from 1 species
GUCACUGGCAGGCAGGGCUUUUGUCACCGCGGAAGGCCAAAUGUGCUUCUGAAGUGAGUUCAUCACAUAAAAGUAGCAUCUGGAGAGCCAUUGACAUAAUGUUGAGAGAAGCAAACAGCCUGGCUCCUGGGGCCCUGCCCCUGCAGCGAGUGUGUCACCAAGAGCUGCAGCAUUUCCUGUAGGCUCAUGAGCUGAGCGCCUCUCAAAGCAGCCAUGCUCCCAGGUCAAAACAAAUCAAGUUUUAACCGGGGAAAGAAAAAGCUGCCAUCUUCAAGACCCAGCUCAAAUAUCACGUGCUUGUGAAGCAUUCCCCAUGCCUUGCAAGGAUAAUGCAGCCGUCCCCUCCUCAGG